rnacentral:lncRNA from 1 species
UGGUUCUUUGAAGUGGAUCAUGAUCAACUUAAGUGAUGAGUAUUCGAUUUAGUUUGAGGAUUUGGUCAUUAAAUUUCAUUCUGGUUGGUGCUACAUUUGUUGGUAUACUCUUUUGGUGUUUCGUUACAUUUUCACUUUCGUAUUCCAUUUAGUUUUUUUUUUCUUUUUCAAAAUCAAUCAGAACUAUUUAACCAUCUUAUGUCUCAUAUUAAAGUGAUAGACGUUUUAUUUUCAAUCCACAUGCGUCUGUAGUUAGCAACCAA